CAGGCGCCCCCGAAACGCAAACCUCAAUCAUGUCCAGAUCAUGACGCUCACAAACGCAACGAAGGACCCAUUCGCAAUGCCUCCCCUCAGUCGACCUGGAAUUCCACGCCUCGUGCGCCAAGGCCACAUGCGCCUAGCGCAACUUGAACAGCUGCUUAGUUAAGCCGCACCCGAGAACGGAGUUAGGGAUGCCCUUGGCACGCACUUCCUCGAUUCCGUGAGCAAACACCACACCCAUCCCCAGGUGGACGUGCCACUCAAUGUGACAGUGAAACGGCCACGCGCCGGGGUUGUCCAACUUGAACCGAAUGGCGGUCCAUGCGAAAGGGAAUGUCGGCACGUUGUUGCGCAUGGGCGGGUUCUUCAGGUUGAACGUCUUGGGGGACGUCUUGGGGUCGUACUUGCCGUCUCCGUAGCCCAGGAUCCAGAAGUCGUGGCCGUGCAAGUGCCACGGAUGGUUCUCGCUGAUGUUCUGCAGGUUGCCGCAGUUCUGGAUGAUCACGUCCACCACGUCACCGGUCUUGAACUGGUACACGCCGCUGCCCUUGUUGGUCUCGGUAACCGGCGGAGGAGCGUAGAUGUUGUAGUCCGCGGGCAUCUUGUCCGGAGGGGGAGCGGUGUCGUAGGAACCAGAGAUGUUGUACACCAGACCCGCCAGCACCGGGGUCGGCAGCGGCGCGUAGGUCACGUUGUUGAUGGCCCACUUGAUGUGUCCCUUGAGCUUUUGCUGGGUGGUGAGCAAGAUGAGGGUGCGCGUGACCUUGGCGUGCCUGUCCAAGGCGUGGCUCGUGGGGUCGGGGUUGUGCUUCAGAGCCUUGUACUUCCUGGCCUGGCGCUUGCUGGCUUCGAAAUCGUCCCACGCUGGGCCCUUGGGCGCUGGAGUACUGG
rnacentral:lncRNA from 1 species